GCGGGCGCCAGGGGGCUGCGCGGCCGCGCCGCAGAAGGUGAAGGAGCAGCGCGAGGCACGCAGCCGCCGCACCGUGGCGCGCACGAGCUCAGCAGGCCGGCGACCCCAGCGCGCCCACAGGACAGUGGCAGCUGGAAAGUGGGUUCCUGCAUGGUAACAAGACCUUAAACUUGUGUCACUGGAGAAGGACGUGCAGUUCCCGCUGAGGAGAGACUUGGCCACUCCAAGACAACACAGGACUACAAGUCAGGAAUUUGAAAAUGAAAAGUGCUGAACAGUGAUAAAUCCUAAAUGUUUCACUGAACAACCUUUCAGAUAGCCUUCUUGAAGUUUGCUGCAUUAUGGCUAUAAGGACCACUCCCCACCCCUGCUAGAAGGUUGUUUGCCACCCAAGAGGGCAUCAAUACAAAAACCCUAAAGCUGGGAUUCCAAAGCACAGAGUCGCGGGAGAGAACCAAAGCUCAUCGCAUCUGGUUUAAGACUCCUUCAGAGUUGGAUCAGCCUAAAAACAGGACAUGGUACAAGAUUGUAUUAGUUCCAAAGAUUGUAAGAAUUAAAUUUAUCCUGAGAAUGUAUCAGUCUGUGUAGGAGUUACAGACUUCUAUGAGCAAGCAGAGUACCUGGCAUUCCUGACCAUGCUAUUUCUACCAAUCAACAGAAACUACUAGAUACUCAGAGGGGAUUUAAUACAGAGAGUUAGCUACAACAUGACAAAACACCAGACAAGAGAGGGCGCUGUGGCUCAUGCCUGUAAUCCCAGCACUUCGGGAGGCCAAGGCGGGUGGAUCACCUGAGGUCAGGAGUUCGAGAGCAGCUGACCAACAUGGUGAAACCCCAUCUCUACUAAUACAAAAAAUUAGCUGGGAGUGGUGGCAGGCACCUGUAAUCCCAGCUACUUGGGAGGCUGAGGCAGGAGAAUCGCUUGAACCCGGGAGGUGGAGGUUGCAGUAAGCCAAGAUCGUGCCCUUGCACUCCAGCCUGGGCAACAAGAGUGAAACUCCGUCUGAAAUAAAUAAAUGAAAUAAACAAACAAACGGACACACACCACAGAAGGGACAGUGAGGCAACCCAGGGAAUAGAAACAGCAGAAGCCGCAACCCUUUGUAGGGCUGAGGGCACACAGCACAGGUCAAGUUACAGUCGCCUGGGAUCCAGGGUCCCCUAGUGGAAGCUGGAACCCACAGAUUAGUGCUGUGGGAGAUGGAGCCACAGAGAAACAACUGCUGCUGGAGACAUCAGCAGAGGAAGAAGGCGGAAAAAUACUGUAGCCGCUCCACACCUCCAGCCCAACGCCCCGUGGCCGAACCUCCCUAGAGGCCCCACGGCAGAAGAGCCUCCAGGAACCUCCUUGUGGACCAGAGGAGACAGAGGCGGCGGGAGGCAAGGGCGUGUCUAAGAACAAACAGGCCACGGCCAGCCCCUGGCCUUUCUGAAACUCCUCCCUUGGGUUCUUUUAAAAUUCAAUAUUCUGCUUCUGUUCCUGUGUUGAUGGGCUGAACUGUGUCCCCCCAAAUUCUAAUGUUGAAGUUCUAACCCCCAGUACCUCAGAAUGGGACUGCAGCAGGAGACAGGUACUUUAAAAUAGUCAUUAAGGUAAAAUGAGGUCACCAGGGUGGGCCCUAAUCUGUUGACUGGUGUCCUUAUAAGGAGAGGAGACUCGACACAGAUAUGCACAGGGGGACAAUCCUGUGAGGACAAAGGGAGAAGACAGCCAUAUCCAAGCCAAGGAGAGAGGCCUCAGGAGAAGCCAACCCCGCCCACACCUUCAUCUUGGACUUCUAGCUUCCAGAACUGGGGAAAUGAAUUUCUGUUGUUGAAGCCCCAGUCUGCAGUACUUAGUUAUAGCAGCCCUUGCGAACCAGCACAUCCGAGUUCUCCGUCUCUGUCUCUAACCCCUCUCUCAACUGCCGGCCAUAAGUGAGCCUCUGCCCCCAACUUCUGGCCUCCUCUAUGUUCUCUUGCUUAGUGACCCCAUUCUCCCUUGUGUUCAGCGGUGACCUCUGGCAGUGACACUCAGUCCUCAUGGCCGGCUCUGGCCUCUCCCAGGCUCUGGCGCCGCAAUCAUUACUUCUACUUGUCUCUGCUUGGAUAGUCUGUCAGCAUCUCAAAGGCAACAUGAAUAAAACCAAAUGCAUUUUUUCCUCCCA
rnacentral:lncRNA from 1 species